ACACUUAUUCCGCCGGGCGGUGGUCCGUUGGGCUUGGGCCUGUUUUCUGCUGCACUCCUCACCUAUAAAUACCACUAUUGCUAGUUCAGAGUCAUUCUUUUGACAGAGGCGGACGACCAGAGCUAAUUUUGCUCUCUGGAGAGGAUCUCUUGGAUGCUUAGGCUCCUUUUCAUCUUUUCUAGGGUUUGCUUUUCCAUUCUUCUUCCAUUUUUCAUCUAGUUUCGCCAUGUCAAUGGUGAACUAAACCCUAUUGUUGUUGGGGGAAACAAUGUAAUAUUUUGAUACUCUCUUUUAUUGAAACUCUUGAUUAUUUAUAUGGUUUCCAUAUGUUUGAUUGUUAAUUGUUGGGUUGUCAUCUGUGCUUAAGGCUUUUAUCGUUUAACUCAUUCGGUAACUGUUGUUUGUCUUUAUUGAUACGGGGAUGUACAAUAUUGUCAUGAACUGGUGAGUAAUUCCUCGAUUUUGCAAUACCACCUAGGGAUAGGGGUAGGACGAUCAAUUGCGUUUAACUUCUGCUCUAUAAAGCUUUAUUAAUUGCUAGGGGAGGCUAGAGAUAGCAAGCUAGUAGUUAAUAUUAGGCUCUUUUCGCCGAGGGAUCGGGUUAAGGGUAGGCUAAGAAAGUUGCAUGACAAUUAAUUAAUCAAACUAAUAAUUCAAGAGGAGUAGAUAAGAGAGGGCGGAUAAUGAUGAAAUUGUAAACCCCCAACAACUCCAUUCAUCCAUUGUUUUGUUCUUGUCAUUUGAAUCAAUCUCUUUUACAUGUUAAUAUUUUUGUUCUCAAAUCAAUUUAUUAAUUUUUAUUUUCAAGUCUUAUUAUUUUAAUUCACGUGAAUGAGAAAGCCUUUCGAGUCUCUUGGGAAGAACG
rnacentral:lncRNA from 1 species